GGAUGCGAUCAUACCAGCACUAAAGCACCGGAUCCCAUCAGAACUCCGAAGUUAAGCGUGCUUGGGCGAGAGUAGUACUAGGAUGGGUGACCUCCUGGAGAUCUAUUUGAUGUUAUGACUU
rnacentral:rRNA from 1 species